rnacentral:rRNA from 1 species
CAGCACCUCAAGUGGUCAGGAUGAUUAUUGGGCCUAAAGCAUCCGUAGCCGGCGCUGUAAGUUUUCGGUUAAAUCUGUACGCUCAACGUCCAGGCUGCCGGGAAUACUGCAGCGCUAGGGAGUGGGAGAGGUAGACGGUACUCGGUAGGAAGGGGUAAAAUCCUUUGAUCUAUUGAUGACCACCUGUGGCGAAGGCGGUCUACCAGAACACGUCCGACGGUGAGGGAUGAAAGCUGGGGGAGCAAACCGGAUUAGAGACCCGAGUAGUCC